rfam:Cavia porcellus supercont2_45 genomic scaffold, whole genome shotgun sequence.
AUCUUUCACGUUCCUGUGUGUGAAGACUGUGACUAUUCAUACCAUUGUGUGAGAUGUACCUCCCUAAAACUUUAUUACUACAUUGGCACAUGACUUAUCUGUCA